UACAGGGGGUGCAAGCGUUAUUCGGAAUUAUUGGGCGUAAAGAGCGUGUAGGUGGUUUACUAAGUUUGGUGUGAAAGCCCUGGGCUCAAUCCAGGAAGUGCAUUGAAUACUGGUAGACUAGAGUAGAGGAGAGGAUGGCGGAAUUCCAGGUGUAGAGGUGAAAUUCGUAGAUAUCGAGAGGAACACCUGUGGCGAAGGCGGCCUUCUGGACGGCGACUGACGCUGAGACGCGAAAGCGUGGGGAGCAAACAGG
rnacentral:rRNA from 1 species